CCCUGACACCUGCCCCAUGUGCAUUCCUGGUUCCUUUUGGUUUUAAGUCCAAGAUGGCCAGUCUCAAAGAUCAGCUGAUUGUGAAUCUUCUUAAGGAGGAACAGGUGCCCCAGAAUAAGAUCACGGUUGUCGGGGUUGGUGCUGUUGGCAUGGCCUGUGCCAUCAGUAUCUUAAUGAAGGACUUGGCAGAUGAGCUUGCUCUUCUUGAUGUCACAGAAGACAAACUGAAGGAAGAGAUGAUGGAUCUCCAACACAGCAGCCUUUUCCUUAGGACCCCAAAAAUUGUCUCUGGCAAAGACUAUAAUGUAACUUCAGACUCCAAGCUGGUUAUUCUCACUGCUGGAGCAUGUCAGCAAGAGGGAGAGAGCUGUCUUGAUUUGGUGCAGCGUAAUGUGAACAUCUCCAAGUUCAUCAUUCCUAAUGUUUCAAAGUGCAGUCCCAACUGCAAGUUACCUGUUGUGACCAACCCAGUGGUUAUCUUGAUCUAUGUAGCUUGGAAGAUAAGUGGCUUUUCCAAGAACCAUGUUAUCAGCAGUGGUUGCAACCUGGAUUCAGCCAGGUUCUGCUACCUGAUGCAGGAAAGGCUGGGCGUGCACCCACUUAGCUGCCAUGGCUAGAUCCU